rnacentral:tRNA from 1 species
CCUCCUUAAACGAAGCCGAAUGCUUCGGUCAGAGUCCACACGAAUUACUUGGUUAGCUUAAGAGGAGAGCAAAGGGUCUAUGCAGGCCCGACUUGGCUUGUUUCAGGACAAGCAAAACCGGGUCUGUAGCUCAGGUGGUUAGAGCGCACCCCUGAUAAGGGUGAGGUCGGUGGUUCAAGUCCACCCAGACCCACCAGAAUUGCGUAGCUCGUCGUUGUGUCCGGACUUGCAUAGCAGGCUAUGCGGCGCCCGAACACGCCUAGAUCUACACAAUUCUUGUAAAUAGCUUUUAGGGGCUGUAGCUCAGUUGGGAAAGCGCCUGCCUUGCACGCAGGAAGUCAGCGGUUCGAUCCCGCUCAGCUCCACCAAUACCUGGACAGAUCGAUGAAUGCCUGGCUUCCGUCAGUGUACAAAAACAAGUUUUUCAGUUUUAUGACUC